GUGAGAGACAGGGAUUAGUGAUAGCAGAGAACUCUAAUAAGUUUCUCUCACCGUUCCGCACUCUAUUUGCUGAAAGAGUCCUUGGAUGAAGGAUGGAGGAUUAGCUUUGGCUAUAAAUUUAGGAAUUUCUCUUCCGGUUCUUUCUUCACGGAGUAAGAACACCAAAACUAACACCACCGAUGGGUUCCAAAGUUUGAAAUCAACUUCUUCAAUCAUCAUUGUUCUUCACUUUAGUUGCAUUUUGGUGAAGCAAAAGAAACAGAGAUGGGGAGUGGGUGAGAGCGAGAGACAGGGAGGGGUGAAAGACAAGAGACCCAUUAGUGAGCAAAGCUGAAACAACUUUGAGUUUCCCUCACCGAUUCGCACUCUCUUUGCUGAAAGAGCACAAAAGGCUUUACCUACUUGGAGGAUGGAGGAUCAGAUUUUACUUUACCAUUCCACCGAUGAGUUCCAGAGUUCGAAAAUCAAAACCUUCGAUCGCCACUUCAAAUGCAGGCAGUUCUGAUUCGAUCCAUCACAUCUAUUCAUGGAGCAUUGGGAUCGUAUUCAAGACUCCCUGAUACUCUAUUGAAGCUGUCAAGUUGGGGUCUCUGCCACUAGCAAUGGGCCUGACCCAGACAAAGAAAUGUAGAAGCUUCAGGGUUUUGACUGGUACAGUAAAACUGGUGCCGGGGUUGGUGGUGGGUUUUUAUCCUUUCUUCACAAGGAGGUUGAGAAAAAUCAAAUAUCCAUUUGCUCGUACUUUGGCUUGGCGAAUGGAGAGGCUCCCUGUACAAGUAUGUAUUCUUUUUCCAUACUACAAUAAAGUUUUCUAAGUGAAGAAGCUAAAGGUACCAAAAUAUUUUUCAGUAAUUAGAAUUGAGUUUUUAUUUUGUUAGUGGGUUUCUCUUGGGUGGAUUAUGGAUAUUUGUCCUGAUGGGUUUUGUCAUAUUAAUUAAAUGUGUGUUAAAUCAAAUAUAAGUAAUAUAAUAAGAGAAUCCAUAGUAAAAAUUAUUUUACUAAAAUGAGCAGUUCAAUGCCAUGAUAAUCAGAAUAAUUGUAUUUUUACAUUCUCUGUAGACUGUAGUUGUUGAUCUUCAAGAAAAAGUCCAAAAAGAUUGUACCUUUGGCAUGAAACACAACUUUUUUUCACCAUAUGAAGAUUUUCCAAUACCAAAAUUGGAUUGUCUUUUGACAUUACUCGAGAAUGAGUCUGGCUAAUUGGAUUUGAGCCCAAUUUGACCGGAUAAUUCCCAAGUGAGUAGGUGAACGUGUUUCAAAAAAAAAAAAAGUGAGCCGGUGAACAAAAAGUGUAAUAUCAUUUUGGGUGUGUAUUCACCUCAAAUGAGCUAAAAGCAAGGUGAUGUUACCAAAAAACAAUCUGAGUGGGUCCUCAUCAGCUUGAAUGGUUAAUUAUAGGCACUUCCUCGAAACCUGGUUCACCUGAAUCUAAAUGCAAUGCUUAGCCACAUUCAGGUUGGAUGACGUUAGAAACAUUUUCAUCAUCUAUUCAUUCAAGCAUGGAUAUUGGAUAAUUGACCAAGUAUGCUACCAUUUCUACAUCUUCAAUCAGUGAUUUAAUUGCCACUUGAAUGCUUAGGAGAACUCUCUUUGUGCUGCACCAAUAUUUGCUCAAAUUGGGUUACCAGUCAUCUUAUUUUUUUCUCACCGGGAAAGUUUUGUUGCACAUAUGAAAUAGACAUACGGUGCACAAAAUGACUUGAUAAUCUUAUCUAAUGGAAGGAAACUUCGAUAACACAUAUCUUGGCCCUGUCUUUUCCAUAAAAUUUAGACUCUAGGCAAGAAGAAUGAUAGAAACUCAAUUGGUUACAGUUUGCUUGGAAGCUAGCCUUUAAUGCUCUCUAGAAAAUUGCAUUUUCAUUUAAA